GACGAACGCUGGCGGCGUGCUUAACACAUGCAAGUCGCACGAAGUGGCGAACGGGUGAGUAACGCGUAAUCAACCUGCCCUUCAGAGGGGGACAACAGUUGGAAACGACUGCUAAUACCUCAUACUGAUGGAGGGGAUUGCGUCUGAUUGGCUAGUUGGGGGGGUAACGGCCCACCAAGGCGAUGAUCAGUAGGCGGUCUGGGAGGAAGAACGGCCACAAUGGGACUGGGACACGGCCCAGACUCCUACGGGAGGCAGCAAUGGGGAAUCUUCCGCAAUGGACGAAAGUCUGACGGAGCAACGCCGCGUGAGUGAUGACGGCCUUCGGGUUGUAAAGGUAUGUUAAUCGGGACGCGGUACCGGAAUAGAAAGCAACGGCUAACUACGUGCCAGCAGCCGCGGUAAUUC
rnacentral:rRNA from 1 species